AUUGAACGCUGGCGGUAUGCUUAACACAUGCAAGUCGAACGGUAACAGGCCUUCGGGCGCUGGCGAGUGGCGGACGGGUGAGUAACGCGUAGGAAUCUGCCUCAUAGUGGGGGACAACGUGGGGAAACUCACGCUAAUACCGCAUACGCCCUACGGGGGAAAGCGGGGGAUCUUCGGACCUCGCGCUAUGAGAUGAGCCUGCGUUAGAUUAGCUAGUUGGUAGGGUAAAGGCCUACCAAGGCGACGAUCCGUAGCUGGUCUGAGAGGAUGAUCAGCCACACUGGAACUGAGACACGGUCCAGACUCCUACGGGAGGCAGCAGUGGGGAAUAUUGGACAAUGGCGAAAGCCUGAUCCAGCCAUGCCGCGUGUGUGAAGAAGG
rnacentral:rRNA from 1 species